CACUGCAACGUAGCGCCAGCUGCGCCACCAGAGUCUCUGGGUUCGCGCCCAGGCUCUGUCGCAGCCGGCCGCGACCGGGAGGUCCGUGGGGCGAAGCACAAUUGGCCUAGCGUCGUCCGGGUUAGUGAGGGUUUGGCCGGUAGGGAUAUCCUUGUCUCAUCGCGCUCCAGCGACUACUGUGGCAGGCCGGGCGCAGUGCGCGCUAACCGAGGGGGCCAGGUGCACGGUGUUUCCUCCGACACAUUGGUGCAGCUGGCUUCCGGGUUGGAGGCGCGCUGUGUUAAGAAGCAGUGCGGCUUGGUUGGGUUGUGCUUCGGAGGACGCAUGGCUUUCGACCUUCGUCUCUCCCGAGCCCGUACGGGAGUUGUAGCGAUGAGACAAGAUAGUAAUUACUAGCGAUUGGAUACCACGAAAAUUGGGGGGAAAAGGGGGUAAAAAAAAAAAAAAAAAAAAGAAACCUUUUACCCUCACAAUUGUUCACGGAUGAUGUGUCUCCUCCUGGGCAGCUCGCAGUAAAGGUCUGGGCGGGUCCCUUGUCGUCUUUUGGUCAGAUGGGAAUUUCCCUCGUGCUUCAUAAAAUGCACUACCAGUUUUCCUCACAGACUGGAAAGCUCCGCAGACAGAAUCAGUCAUCCACUGUGUGACGCCAAAUUGUCAUGGAAAUUACCACCAGGGACUCAGUCAAACUUAAUUAAUCAUUCAUUAUUAUCAGCAAGCUGGAGAAGUUCAAACAAACGUAUUGCACCAUAGUACACGUCGGUCGGGAGCUCUGCCGGGGCAGUCCCGUUAGUUCUCUUAUAGAUAGACAAGUUAUAUUUGCAUGAUUUACAUGAUUAAUUAUUCAUAAUGAAUUCAUCAUUAACAUUUGGUUCCUGCAUGUGACCGAUCAAUACCUCACGAGGCUUCUUCUCUCUAAGCUGAGACCUUGAAACUGAGAUAUCCGUUUUGGUUCCCAGAACAAUGUUCUGGGGGACUGCCAAUUGGUUUGAGGAGGAGGUCACAGUCACCUGCAUGAACCAAGAUAGAGGGAGAGGAGAUGCUGUGUACAAUUCAAUGCUAUCUCUUCUGACAACAACAUUUUCCCUCACACCAGCAAAGUACAACUUUCUUGAUUUUUUUUAUUUAUGGAUAGCACAGUCAAACACUCAGACAUAAUUUCCAAACAAAACAUUUGUGUUUAGUGAGUCUGCCAGAUCAGAGGGAGUAGGGAUGACCACCUGUUCUCUUUAUAAUUGAGUAAAUUGGACCAUUAACCUGUCCUGCUAAGCAUUCAAAAUGUAACGAGUACUUUUGUGUGUCAGGAAAAAUGUAUGGGAGUAAAAGUAAAAGUUGUCAAAAAAUAUAAAUAGUAAAGUGAAGUACAGAUACCCCCCAAAAAUACUUAAGUAGCGCUUCAAAGUUUUUUUAAUUCAGUUACUUUACACCACUGACCGUCUGUCAGUAGGAAAUUCUAAAUCACUGUACAGUAGCUUUAAUAAGUAGCAACAUCUCAGUCCUUUAUAGCAUUCAGAGACACAAAAUAAACAUAAUUUUUAAAAGUUUAAACACUCUGAGCAUUUUGUCAAUCCAAAUGUUGUACCCAAUCUCCGUCCUUAUUUUAAUAUUACAGAGAUGAUUGAUGUUAUAGUCAUCCAAUCUGAGAUUACUAUGACAGUGGUUUCAAUUUAUAGACUGGUAUUCUACUCAUAUUGUUCAAAUGAGAAAACACACUGACCAGGAGAGAUAUUUUUGUUCGGCUUGGUCCAGUCCAGUAGGAGUAAUGGCAGAAACAGAAGCAUUGUUAGAUUCUGUUGGCGCGAGUGAAGUUGACGAGAAUGAGUGGAAGACGGUGAUGAAGAAGAAUGAAGCUAAAAGGGCUAAAGUUGGAAAUGAACAUCAGUUUCUUGUACAAGUGUGAUUCAUUAAUAAGGAUUCGUUUUUGGGAGAUCCAUUUGAUGUUACGAACAUGGUGAAGGAUGCAUUGGGAAAGGUGGCGUCAGUUCGAGUGACCAGGAGUGGUUUUGUUGUAAUUUCCUUUGUGUCAAAUAGCAGAAGGAGAACUCUUUGUGGUACCAGUAAAGGGUGUUAUCUCUGGUGUUCCGUUGGACAUUGCAAUUCAAUAUUUCACAUUGAACAUUCCAGGAGUAGUUGGUGCACGCCGCUUGACCCAUAAGGUGGGUGGGAAUAUGGAGGAACGCCUAUCGUUUUUACUGUUGUUUAAUGAAGAGCUCCCGACACAUAUAAAAAUGGGGUAUAUGAGAUACGCCACUGCAAUACGCCAGAAUUGUAAAAAGUUUGUCCAUGUGUCAAGUGUUUGCAGGCUGAAGAAAUGUGUUGUUGAAGAGUUGGAGGGUGUACAGGGUUCUGACUAGAGACAAUACAGCUACAAUUGGAAGGAACUUUUGUAACAGUUCAACGAAACGUCCGUCCCCUUGCCCCGACGCGAACCAGGGACCCUCUGCACACAUCAACAACUGACACCCACGAAGCGUCGUUACCCAUCGCUCCACAAAGUCCGCUGCAACCAGUGAUCCGGGUCAACAGCAUCAAUGUAACAGUAUAACUUUACGGCGUCCCCUCGCCCCGACCUGGGCGCGAACCAGGGACCCUCUGCACACAUCAACAACGGUCGCCCACGAAGCAUCGUUACCUAUCGCUCCACAAAGGCCGCAAUGUAAAUAGCUGUACAUUUUGUUACUUUUAUUGCGCAUAUGAUGAACUGUACGGGCCAAACUAACAAGAAGUCGGAGGCCGCUGUGUAGGGAUGUGAUUUCGGUUGGACUGGGACUGGGUUUUGAUGCAAAGGUAUUUUAUGUAAUUAUUUUGUGAUUACGUUUUUUCCCCUUUCCCGCAAAGGAUAUAAUUUUCUUCUCCAGUUCACUAUCCAUACAGGAGGUGGCAGCAUACACAUUACAUUUGUGCGAGCGCCAUUAUACCAGAGAAGAAGAACAAGAAUUAAAAAGAAGAAGAAAAAGAAGAGAAAACAGAUUGAGCACAAUCAGAGAGGAAGAGGUGAAGCGAGAGGGUCGACUCCGCCCUAAAAGCUUUCCAUGCAGAUUAAGCAGACUAACCAGACCACGUGAGGAGUUUUUGUGUGGGUGCUAAUGAGAGAGUGUGGAAUUUUCUAUUUAAAAGGAGUGGGAAGUCGACUCACCAUCAGAGUAUGACAGAAGCAUCCCAGAGUCUCCGCCGGAUAGAGAUGCCAAGGAUGUCCAUCAGAGCGGCCAAGGCUCUGUGUUGCUGUGCAGGCUGCACAAGAGGUCACAAAGUUCCGGAGGAAUUUGUUCAACCAGGAGACCAUUUGCCCCUCCGAGAAGGCCAAGAUGCCCAGGAGCCUGUCUGUCUUGGCUGUGGAGGGACUAAAGUGCAAAUGCCCUCAGACGACAGAAGGUGGCGGUAUAGAGACACUCUGAUACUUAAUUGCUCGCCAGUAUGUAUUCCCUGAUACUUCAGCAUUCCAAGAGCUCAUAGCAUCAGUAACAAGGGAAAAGGUUUUGUUAGCACUGUGACCCAGAGAAAAUCUGCCCUUUUAGAUCGACAUGCCCUCCGGACCAAAAAGGUGAUGGAGACGCCACUUCACAAGCAGGUGUCCAAUCGCCUGGUGCACAGGCAAAAGAUGGGCAGGUCUGUCCCGACAGAGGAGUGCAUCGUGGAGGAGUCGCCAGUGAAGCCCCCAGGUGCGGUAAACCUGCGAUCAGUACGGUCUCCGGUACGUCUUCUAUUUGGAGCCACUCAGUCUCCUGCUACCAGGUCCAGCCAGAGGCAGCUGUCCAUGUCUUCGAGGAUUGUGCUGUAGUCUCCACAACUGGAUCAGACUGACACAGGAUUUCCAGUCAGCGGAUGGUCUGAGGGAUGCACUCAUGUUGGACUGGAAAACAAAGAGACAUUUGGCCAGUGGCUCGAUCUGCUGUAGUCUCUACAAGUGGACGCUUGAGCUCGGAUCACACUGGCACAUGAUGUCCAUGCACUGGAUGGCCUGAGCGAUUCACUCCUGUUGGACUGGAAAACAAGAGACAUUUGUCUGGAUCUUCCUCUCUGCCAUGGUGGAUGAGCUACCUUUCCUGGUAAAUUUUCCCAUGGGAAAAUGACAGCUGCAGACCCGAGUGUUGUCACUGGGUUUUCUGUCCGCCCAUCUCAAAGACUGUACUUCUGAUUAUAAUUCUCAAGAGGAAAGUUAAAACCUUGCUAACAUUAGGCACUUCAAGAAGCUAAGUUAACAAUGAUCAUUACACAGGUGCACCUUUUGCAGUUUUGUCAAACAACAUAAUGCCACAGAUGCCUUAAGUUUUGAGGGGACAGGCAAUUGGCAUGCUGGCUGCAGGUAUGUCCACCAGAGCCUAGAAUUUAAUGUUAAUUUCUGUACCGUUAGCAUAAUUUUACCUCCUUACCUCCUCUAUACCUCCAACAUUGUUUUGGAGGUAUAGACACAGUACGUCCAACAAGCCUCACAACUGCAGACCACGUGUAACCACGCCAGCCCAGGGCCUCCACAUAUGGCUUCUUCACCUGUGGGAUCAUCUGGGGAGGAGGAAGAGGGAGUAUUUCUGUCUGUAAUAAAACCCUUUUAAUAAAUAAUGUAAUAAAACCUUUGGGAAAAACUCAUUCUGAUUGGCUAGGCCUGGCUCACCAGUGGAUGGGCCUGGCUCCAUUGAGUAGGCCUAUGCCCUCCAAUGGCUGUGCCACUGCCCAGUCAUGUGAAAUCCAUAAAUUAGGGCCUAAUUAAUUUAUUUCAAUUCAAUGAUUUCCUUUUAUGAACUGUAACUCAGUAAAAUCUUUGAAAUUGUUGCA